rnacentral:rRNA from 1 species
UACGUAGGGGCUAGCGUUGUCCGGAAUCAUUGGGCGUAAAGCGCGUGUAGGCGGUCCGGUAAGUCCGCUGUGAAAGUCGAGGGCUCAACCCUCGAAUGCCGGUGGAUACUGUCGGGCUUGAGUACGGGAGAGGCGAGUGGAAUUCCUGGUGUAGCGGUGAAAUGCGCAGAUAUCAGGAGGAACACCGAUUGCGAAGGCAGCUCGCUGGAACGUACUGACGCUGAGACGCGAAGCGUGGGGAGCAAACAGG